rnacentral:misc_RNA from 1 species
AACGGUCUAUACCUGCGGUACCUGCGGAGGGAUCAUUAACACAAAUGAUACAACCUUUUUGGUUUUUUUGGAAUGGGAUUUAAUCUCGUUCCAAAAACCAAAAUUACCACAAUGGAAAAUGUUAAAGUCCAUCAACAUUAUUAUUAAUGUUGGUGGCCUUUAAACCCCAUUACCAACACAAUAUAAAAAAAAACCCCAUUUAAAAACCAUUAGAUCCUGUUAUGAUUAUAUCCUAAAAAC